AGCAGCCGCGGUAAUUCCAGCUCCAAUAGCGUAUAUUAAAGUUGUUGCAGUUAAAAAGCUCGUAGUUGAAUUUCGGGGUCAGCAAGUUGGUCGUGCCACCGGUAUGUACUGGCUUUGCUGAUUCCUCCUUCUUGUAGAACCGUAAUGCCAUUUAGUUGGUGUUGCGGGGAAACAGGACUGUUACUUUGAAAAAAUUAGAGUGUUUAAAGCAGGCUAACGCCUGAAUACAUUAGCAUGAAAUAAUGAAAUAGGACGAGCGAUCCUAUUUUGUUGGUUUCUAGGAUUGACGUAAUGAUUAAUAGGGAUAGUUGGGGGCAUUAGUAUCCAAUUGUCAGAGGUGAAAUUCUUGGAUUUAUUGAAGACUGACUACUGCGAAAGCAUUUGCCAAGGAUGUUUUCAUUAAUCAAGAACGAAAGUUAGGGGAUCGAAGACGAUCAGAUACCGUCGUAG
rnacentral:rRNA from 1 species